rnacentral:rRNA from 1 species
AGCUCCAAUAGUGUAUAUUUAAGUUGCUGCAGUUAAAAAGCUCGUAGUUGGAUUCCGGGAAGGCCUCAAAAGUCAAGCCAAGUGCUGUGUACUUAUGUGGACCUUAACUCUUAUCAUAGGUACAUUUUAAAGAUUUCCUCUUUGUGUGCAUAUGGUGUGGUUACUGUGAGUAAACUAGAAUGUUUAAGGUAGGCGGUUGCUCUGAAUAUAUUAGCAUGGAAUAACAUUAUAGUACUUCAAUCUAUUCUGCUGAAUUGUGGGACUGAAGUAAAGAUUAAUAGGGACAGUCGGGGGCAUUCGUAUUUCAUUGUCAGAGGUGAAAUUCUUGGAUUGAUGAAAGACGAACUACUGCGAAAGCAUUUGCCAAGUAUGUUUUCAUCA